rnacentral:rRNA from 1 species
UACGGAGGGUGCAAGCGUUAUCCGGAUUUACUGGGUUUAAAGGGCGCGCAGGCGGUUAUGUAAGUCAGUGGUGAAAUCUCUAGGCUUAACCUGGAAAUUGCCGUUGAUACUAUAUAUCUUGAAUGCUGUGGAGGUAAGCGGAAUAUGUCAUGUAGCGGUGAAAUGCUUAGAUAUGACAUAGAACACCUAUUGCGAAGGCAGCUUACUACGCAGAUAUUGACGCUCAUGCACGAAAGCGUGGGGAGCAAACAGG